rnacentral:tRNA from 1 species
GUUUUAAUAAUUUAAUUUAAAAUACUGGUCUUGUAAACCAAUUAUAAGAUACAUCUUUUAAAACA